CGUACCAGCUCUGUUCGACCAUGAGGGACGAUGACAAAUGCAAAACAAAGUGAGCACACAUCAUCAUCUUCACAUAUAGAUGUCAUAUCUGAUCCAUUAGAAGCAUGUCUCUGUGAAUCUCAUCAUAGCACAACUCCCACAUUGCAGUAGACUGGGUAUGGCAAGUAUUGGAAGCUGUAUUGCGGAAAGGUCCCUAGCAGGAUUAUAACUGGAAUUUACUUGUAGUAAAUUGUGGAUCUUUUAAUAUUUUGAUAUUGUUGAGGAUUCACUUGCAAUUGAUCUAUCAAAUAAAUGCUGCCUCUAUUUUUGU